GACGAACGCUGGCGGCGUGCUUAACACAUGCAAGUCGAACGGUAAGGCCCUUCGGGGUACACGAGUGGCGAACGGGUGAGUAACACGUGGGUGAUCUGCCCUGCACUUCGGGAUAAGCCUGGGAAACUGGGUCUAAUACCGGAUAGGACCACUGCCUGCAUGGGUGGUGGUGGAAAGCUUUUGCGGGGUGGGAUGGGCCCGCGGCCUAUCAGCUUGUCGGUGGGGUGAUGGCCUAACAAGGCGACGACGGGUAGCCGGCCUGAGAGGGUGACCGGCCAGACUGGGACUGUGAUACGGCCCAGACUCCUACGGGAGGCAGCAGUGGGGAAUAUUGCACAAUGGGCGCAAUCCUGAUGCAGCGACGCCGCGUGAGGGAUGACGGCCUUCGGGUUGUAAACCUCUUUCAGCACCGACGAAGCGCAAGUGACGGUAGGUGCAGAAGAAGGACCGGCCAACUACGUGCCAGCAGCCGCAGUAA
rnacentral:rRNA from 1 species